rnacentral:rRNA from 1 species
GAUGAACGCUGGCGGCGUGCCUAAUACAUGCAAGUCGAGCGAACGGACGAGAAGCUUGCUUCUCUGAUGUUAGCGGCGGACGGGUGAGUAACACGUGGAUAACCUACCUAUAAGACUGGGAUAACUUCGGGAAACCGGAGCUAAUACCGGAUAAUAUUUUGAACCGCAUGGUUCAAAAGUGAAAGACGGUCUUGCUGUCACUUAUAGAUGGAUCCGCGCUGCAUUAGCUAGUUGGUAAGGUAACGGCUUACCAAGGCAACGAUGCAUAGCCGACCUGAGAGGGUGAUCGGCCACACUGGAACUGAGACACGGUCCAGACUCCUACGGGAGGCAGCAGUAGGGAAUCUUCCGCAAUGGGCGAAAGCCUGACGGAGCAACGCCGCGUGAGUGAUGAAGGUCUUCGGAUCGUAAAACUCUGUUAUUAGGGAAGAACAUAUGUGUAAGUAACAGUGCACAUCUUGACGGUACCUAAUCAGAAAGCCACGGCUAACUACGUGC